AUAUAAGAACCAUAUCUUCUUUAUCCAUUCAUCUGUUGAAAGGCAUCUUGGUUCUUUCCACAGGUUCCCACAGGUUGGCGACUGUGGCCAUUGCUGCUAUAAACAUAGGGGUACAGAUUGUUUCUAAUGCUAGCAGUGGUUCCCAGAAACUUCAGAACCGACAUUCCACCCACCACAGAUGUGGUCAGGCUGGACGUGGUUUUUCUGUUGGUAGUCAGCGCUGGACUUUGAGGGCACACCCAAACGGCGGACCAACAGAGAGCCUGGAGAAGAGAGACAAAGACAGAGAAACAGAUACCGUGACAUUUGUCCCAGUUUAGCACCACAUGUCUGUGAGUGCGCACUGCCCUCUAGUCUGAGCUAGGGAAGGAAUCAAAU
rnacentral:lncRNA from 1 species